UCUCAGAGAAGACAAAAAUGGAGAAGAGUUUUCUAGAGGAUGAAUGGAAAUAACACAGGAAGUAGACCAGAGGGCUCUGAGGGAGCUGUCUUCGAACAUUUUCUCACUCUUGGAAGAGAAAGGUGUGGAUAUGAUUAUGGCUGAGCAUCUGAGCAAAUCAAAUUUUACACAAUCAAAUCUAAGGGAAACUUGCUCUUUCCUGCCCAUGCUGAAAAUAUCUAAGGCUCUCCACGAGCUCAGCUUUAACAUCUUCAUGGGUGGCUUCAAGCGGUUGCCAUUUUUACCAUGUGCAGAGUGAUAGCUUCUCCGUGCUUUUCAAGCAGCACAAUGAUUAAAAUUCUGCGAGGCAGCCUCGAACAUACACAGUCAAGUUGCGAAGAAUUCAAAGCUUACCAACUUCUUGUAGGCAAGUAGCAUCUCAGCCAUUCAAAUAUUCAUGAGAGAAUAAAUAACUCUGGGAGA